rfam:Trachymyrmex septentrionalis contig26000, whole genome shotgun sequence.
UAAUCAGCUCUUUUCAGAGCAACCAAUACAUUUUUACAUUUAAUAU